rnacentral:lncRNA from 1 species
AAAAUAGCACAUUAAUUAAUUCUCACAAAUGAAGGAGGUAACCAAUUAACAAAACAUUUAUGGUUCAGUGACCGAAACACCAGAUGGGUUUACAAAAUGAUAGCUAGUAGAUGCAUGUCCUACGAAUCAUGUUUGCUCCACUACACAGAAUAUCCAGUUGACCGAGACACCAUAUAUGUUUACACAAUGAUAGAUAAUAGAUGCAUGUCACACGAUUCAUAGUAUGCUCCCUUACACAGUUAUAACGCAAACUGCCAACUUCAUGGUUCUUGGUCAUCUUGUAUGUGUUUCUUCCAAAGGAUCAAGGCAAUGAGGCAGCUUCAUCUUAUAUUCCUAACAAGGGAAAGCUCCUGGUUCAAAUAGUGAUCAAUGUUAAGCCCACAUACACUUGAAUACACAAGCAACAACAAAAUAGGAAAAUUGGUGCACCUCAUACAUUUCCCUGUGCUCUCGAAAGAACAGCAGAAUUUAUACAAAGCGAAGCUUUGUACUAUUAAGGUCAUGACAACAGCCCACUUAUGGAAGCUUGACACCGGUGAUUACUCCACAAAGCAACUGAAUUGCAGUAUAUAUAAGAACUUUAUUAAUCUAGAAUAGACUAACUCCAAAUUCCAUGCUCUCUAAUUGAGAGUACUAUGGUUCAGUUCAUCUUUACAACAGUUUUACAUUAUUAGGAACACCGAACACCACAACAUCUCAAAAUUUCCAAUAUAGCCUUUAUGUCAACCAUGAAUUUUGUUCCAGUAUAGUAAUUAGCAGUAGCACACUUUUAUUUUGUCUCAGUGGGAUCUGAAAUAACUUAAAGAGGUUUGUAUGUUUAAUCUUUGUAACGAGUAAAUCUUCUGGUACGCGUAAAUUUCUACAAAACUAAGUGCUCACAAUUAUAUCAUCAAUAGUGAUUGCUUGCAAGUCAGUCGGACUCACCUCUCUGCAUGUGUCCAACUUUUAUCCAAUGCUAGUUUCAG